rnacentral:rRNA from 1 species
AUGUCCGAGGGUUGCAGAAUGUUUGUGACCUUUUGUUCCAGCUGUGGCUUCACUCUCUUAAUAAUUAUCAGUAUAAUUUUGUGUGGCUCAGGCGGCACUGCGUGUUUAUUGGUCGGUUUAGUACCUUCUGUUAUGUUUCUCUUUGGUCAGAGACUUGUAGUUGUUAAAGAGAUUAAAAUAUGGACAUGUGUUCUUGUCUAUUAUCCGUACAAUUCCACUACUGCUUAUUCUGAAUCACUAACUGCCACAAUGUUUUGGGAUUUUUUGGAUGGUGAGAUUGAUAGCAAUGGAAGGAACAAAAAAUGA